GACGAACGCUGGCGGCGUGCUUAACACAUGCAAGUCGAACGAGAUCCAAUGUGUAGCAAUACACAGGAAGAUCUAGUGGCGAACGGGUGAGGAACACGUGAGAAACGUACCCCGGACUCUGGGAUAACAAUUCGAAAGGAUUGCUAAUACCGGAUGACGUCGGAGAAUCGCAUGAUUUUCUGACGAAAGGAAUUCCGGUUCGGGAGCGUCUCGCGACCUAUCAGCUAGUUGGAGGGGGAACGGCCCACCAAGGCAACGACGGGUAGCUGGUCUGGGAGGAUGGUCAGCCACACUGGGACUGAGACACGGCCCAGACUCCUACGGGAGGCAGCAGUGGGGAAUCUUGCGCAAUAGGCGAAAGCCUGACGCAGCAACGCCGCGUGCGGGAAGAAGGCUUUCGGGCUGUAAACCGCUUUCAGUAGGAACGAAACUGACGGUACCUACAGAAGAAGGAGCGGCCAACUAUGUGCCAGCCGCCGCGGUAA
rnacentral:rRNA from 1 species